UACGUAGGGUGCGAGCGUUGUCCGGAAUUAUUGGGCGUAAAGAGCUCGUAGGCGGUCUGUCGCGUCGGCUGUGAAAACUCGGGGCUCAACCCCGAGCCUGCAGUCGAUACGGGCAGACUAGAGUGCUGUAGGGGAGACUGGAAUUCCUGGUGUAGCGGUGAAAUGCGCAGAUAUCAGGAGGAACACCGGUGGCGAAGGCGGGUCUCUGGGCAGUAACUGACGCUGAGGAGCGAAAGCGUGGGGAGCGAACAGG
rnacentral:rRNA from 1 species